GAGAUGCUUCCAGAAGGAUUGCAGCAUGUGACUACCCUCAAGAAAUUGGAGACAUCUGGUAUGUCUUAUAGUUUCACAAAUAGGCUUCGAAGAGAUGAGGGAGAGGAUUGGUAUAAGAUUCAACACAUACCGUCCAUCCACAUUGGUCCAAGCCAUUAAAUCCUCAGGAGCACCUUCCACCAAAAUAUGCUGAAGCUAUUUCUUAAGAUAAAUAUUGAGAUGUGGAAUUUGUUGUUGUUGUCAUGACUGGCGAUCAAAGACAGGCUUUCAUUCUUUGUUGAAGACUGAUUCAGGUUAUCUCCCUAGUAAAGCCGGACAUGCCUCAACAAUUGAAAGCGAGGCUUCAUGUAGCAGUAUGGUUGGAUGACCUACAUUGAAAAUUGACACCACUGGAAAUGCCUCAACAAUUGAAAGUGAGGCUUCGAGAAGAAGAGCGGGAGAGGAUUGGCAUAAGAGUCAACAUGUACCCUUCAUUAACAUACAUGAAUUAGAUGUGAAUAUGGUGUUGUUGUGACUAGCAAUCAAAGACGAGCUUUCCUUGUUUACUGCACACAGUUCAUGAUCUCUCCAAAGCAAAGCAGACGCAUUGAGGUUGGAAAGUCUCAAGCUUGUGCAACCCAGCUCCCUUGCAAGCCAACACAGGCCUGGAUGGAAGACGCGCAAAAUCCAAGCUGUCCAUCAGGUGGGUCCCCACUUCUUGAUGCCAUAGCCCAAAAUCCAGGCGAGUCCACUCCAUGGAAGGAUCACCAAAAGGGCCCCAUGCCCUAGGAAUUCUGUGCAGCUAGACCUAUUUUGAGUUCUUUUCUAAGCACAUCAUAUAUAUGGCUUAACAAACUGUUGUAUCUCAGACUAAAGGUAAGUGGUAUCACAUUUCUGUUGUAUCUCAAAUAAAUUUAAUUCAGUUCCUUGGCCUCCCAUUUGAUAGGACAUUGGAAGAAGUACACACUUUCUGUGGAAAAUUUUACUCUGAGAAAAUUUCUUGGAUCUUCUUCUGUUAAUUUCCUUUUUCAUUUCUGGUGUGUUAUCUAUUGGAAUUGCAGCAUCUGAUGCCUUGAAGUGAACAGCAAGGACAUGGAUCCUACAUAGUGGGCCAAGACUAUCAUCUAAAUAGCAACGUUUAUGUUGCCCGUGUCUUUUGCAUUAUAAGUUUUGAUUAUAUGUUUGUUUUCGAGUGACAAAGGUAAAUGAGAAGACUUGAUUUGUUCAUGUUUUGAUUUUCAAAACAUUGUUACUUUGCGAUUGCAGAAAGGGAAUUAAUAACUGUAUUCAAGGAGAAAUCCAGUGGAAGUUUGUUCCAUUUUAUGGUUCUUAUUCUGGCUUCCUCAUUUAUGAAUAGCGUGAGAUAAUUGGAUGAUGUUUUCAAACUGUAGAAUGAGAAUGUUUGGAUUUUUUUUUUCCUUACCAAUCUUUAGUGCUUCAAUAUAACAAAGAGUUCCCAUAAUGUUUGACUUGAGCAACUAUUUAGAGGGUAGGCUCGAGUGUCCACAAUGCUUGCAUGGAUGCAUGAUCAAAGCUGUUCAUCAAAGUGCAACCACAAUAUGGCUUUCGUUGUGUGGAAUUCAGGUCUGUCCACUCAUCUAAUGGCCACACAUUUACAUUAAAUGCUGACCACACUUGUAUGGAGCCUUACCAAUCGCAUGCACCAAAAUAGCAUAAGCAUGUGAGGUAAGAGCUUUUUCAUCAGAUGGACCAGUGUGUACAAAACAAAUGGAUGUCUAGAAGAAAACUAUAUCAGCCAAUCCAUUUCUUUUGUAUAGUCUCCAACCUGAGAAGCAAAACUUCCUGAUUUUUUUGCGCAAGAACAUCUAAUCAAUCUGGUUCAUGUAAUGGAAUUAUGGAAAGCUGGGAUCUCAUAUACAUCUUCCAUAUUGGCAUGUGCAGCUAUAUGUGGAUGUGCACAGCUCCACACACCUGUGGGCUUAGCAAACAACUGUUUCAGAUUUACUUAAUUUGGUAUUGAUUUGGUUGGUCCUUGUAUAUGAUAUUUGCCUAUAUUGCAUGCGUAACUCUUUAACUGCAGUAGUGUAAUUUUUGUUGUCGGCAGGGAACUCAACGAGGAGCAAGUACAUUUGGAUUUGCUUGCAGUCAAUCCAUUCGAAACCCAUGUCAGAUGAUAAUAGUAAUCUCACAUCCCAAGCUUAAAUUUGGAUGGACAUUGACCGGCAGAUUAGAAGCUUGGUUCUGUAGGGUUUUUGGCCCAUCUUCCACCUAUGGCAGAGCUUAUCAAUUAAAGUUUGUAUCUCACAAUUGCUGGCCCUACUUGUAAAUUGUAACGUGCAUACACUUCAACCCAAUGCACUAUGAACUCAUAUUUUCUCCAUGAUUAGUUUUAGGGGUCAUUUGGAUGCCUGUAAGUUUUAUUAGUUGUAAAGGGUCUACAGGUGUUUGGAUAAGAAAUUUCACUGUCAGUUACAAUAUAGCAUGAGCUCACUUUCAGGUGGAACUUAUUUGCAACUUAGAAAGUUAUAGGCAUCCAAAUGGACACUUGAAAUAACUAUAUGCUUCCACUACUAUAGAUUCAAGCAAACAAAUUAUAGCAUUUGACUUUCAGGUUUUACUUACAAAUUUGAUUUAGGAAAUACUGUGAUGACCACUAGACAGAUGUGGAGGUGGAAUGAUGAUUUGACAGUGAUGAGAUGUUUGGAUGAUAUUUUCUAGCUUGAGGAUAUUUGUAUCUUU